CCUACGGGAGGCAGCAGUGGGGGAUAUUGCACAAUGGGGGAAACCCUGAUGCAGCGACGCCGCGUGUGGGAAGACGGUCCUCUGGAUUGUAAACCACUGUCCCCAGGGACGAAGAUGACGGUACCUGGGGAGGAAGCUCCGGCUAACUACGUGCCAGCAGCCGCGGUACUACGUAGGGAGCGAGCGUUGUCCAGAAUUACUGGGUGUAAAGGGAGCGUAGGCGGGACUGCAAGUUGGGUGUCAAAUCUACCGGCUCAACCGGUAGCCGCACUCAAAACUGCAGUUCUUGAGUGAAGUAGAGGCAGGCGGAAUGCCUAGUGUAGCGGUGAAAUGCGUAGAUAUUAGGAGGAACACCAGUGGCGAAGGCGGCCUGCUGGGCUUUUACUGACGCUGAGGCUCGAAAGUGUGGGGAGCAAACAGGAUUAGAUACCCCUGUAGUC
rnacentral:rRNA from 1 species